GAAUCGGAGUGUUCUGCCUCCCACAUACAGCCUGAGGCGCCAGCCAAAGGCGAGGCCGCUGCUUGAAGAGGGCAGAUUCAAAAGACUUGAGAAAAAAUGGAGUCAGAGCCUGAUCAAACCACAGAUGAAGAAACAAACUUAGAUUAAUUACUUGCCCCGGG